rnacentral:lncRNA from 1 species
GUUGAUAGAUGAAGAUGGGAAGGAGAUGGUCAUGUGGCAUGAGAGGGCUCCAAGAGGAAGAGGAAGCAUCACCAAGAGGAAUUAGAAUGGUCAGGAGCGGGAGGAAAGAAGCCAGUAAGGCACAGUCCUGGAGGCCUUGCCUGAGGGAAGAUAGAAAAGAGAAGAGCCUUACUGUAAAUUUCAGAAGACUUGGAAGAGGAGCCACCCUCAGGGAAAGACAGGUUUUGGAUAAGGGGAAGAGACGCCAGGAAGCGAGUGUCUGCGGCUUCCUCAUGCAACGUGGCCUGCCUUCCCAAUCCCCUCUGGGCUCACAGGCUGCUACCCAGCCAAGGGGAAGGGCAGGGUAAAGAGCAGGGGACAUCUGUCCUCAGAUAUCACAAGGCUCUAUCCCCAGGAUUAUGGCACUCUCCUUUGUGACCAGCUCUGGAUUUUGGCCCUCGCCCACUGAAUGCAAGUACAGAGAAACAAGAAGGCUAAAGAGGAACGGGUGGAGCAGAUACAGUGCCAAGAGACAGGGUUCCGUGAGGAGCCAGACAUGGUGAACACAGAGGAGCAGAAGCCCCAGGACAUUUCUGAGGGAAGAGCAUCCCCAAAGAACAUUCAAGUCUGAGCCUCAAGGAGCCUCUGCGACUCGGUGUCUAGAUCCAGGAAAUGGAGAAUGAGCCGUGACUUUGGAUGCUUCACUCUUGUCCAUCAGGCUCGGAAUUGGUGAGCAUCUCCCACAUUACCGUCUCCAACGGAACAAGGUGCCCCAUUGGACAUUUCCUCUGCAUGGACCAGCCAUUCUCCAAAUCUGCCCCCAUGUCACCCCAGCUCCCCAUCGCAGUCACUUCUCACUCCUUGUCCCCUGUCCCCCUGAGUGACAGGACUUUUGCCAGUUAGGUCCUGUCCCUGUUUCUGAUCUUGGGUCCAUUCCCCAUGGUCCCUUUCUUGCUUGUGCCUUGGGAUCUCAGGCCUGUUGAAGUAGGAGGCAGGACUCAACUUCAGACCAGAUUGAAGACUGGCUGACACAGAAGAGGCACCAAAAGCACCUCUCUCUCCAUAAGACAUGCCCACCAGUGCCAUGACAGUUUACCAUUGCUAUGGCAAUGCCCAGAAGUUCUCACCCCUUUUCCAGACAUUUCUGCAUAAUCUACCCCUCAAUUGGCAUGUGAUCAAAAGUGGGUGUCAAAAUGACUGUGGAACUGUCCCUGAGCUGCUACUCUUGACAUGCUGGUUACAGGGUAGCCCGGCUCUGCAGGGACAGUCACGGAGCUGAAAAACUGCUGCCUAAUGAAGCUGUUUUCUUCUA